CAGCCCUACCCAACCACUGACAAGAGGAUCGACUAUCAAAAGGUCACACCGGUGUGACGAAGCUUUAUAUAUAAAAAAUUCAUUGCGCGAGGCGAAUCGUUAAAAUUUAUUAUUCUAACUUAAACCUAAAAAUUUAUUACUACAUUCCGCUGUACAACUAUCUCUACAUUUACUCGGACCUACGGUAAAGUUAAAAGGCUUUAGGAAAACGUAACCUAAAUUUAUUAAUUAAAACAUCAGGACAGGUUUCUACGAAUAAGCACUUUAUUUCGCUGUUUGAAUUGUUGCGUGAUAGCGAAGGGCUACUACAGUGAGUACAAUCAAAUACAAAUUAAAUACGCCAAGGUUCCAUACAAAAGGGUGAUCAUUUUAUGACUCA